GACGAACGCUGGCGGCAUGCCUAAUACAUGCAAGUCGAGCGAACAGAUGAAGUGCUUGCACUUCUGACGUUAGCGGCGAACGGGUGAGUAACACGUAAGGAAUCUACCUAUAAGCGGGGGAUAACAUUCGGAAACGGGUGCUAAUACCGCAUAAUAUCUUCUUCCGCAUGGAAGGAGAUUGAAAGACGGCUCUGCUGUCACUUAUAGAUGACCUUGCGGUGCAUUAGUUAGUUGGGGGGUAACGGCCUACCAAGACGAUGAUGCAUAGCCGACCUGAGAGGGUGAUCGGCAACAUUGGGAGUGGAACACGGCCCAAACUCCUACGGGAGGCAGCAGUGGGGAAUCUUCCGCAAUGGGCGAAAGCCUGACGGAGCAAUGCCGCGUGAGUGAAGAAGGCCUUCGGGUCGUAAAACUCUGUUAUAAGAGAAGAACAAAUUGUAGAGUAACUGCUACAGUCUUGACGGUAUCUUAUCAGAAAGCCACGGCUAACUACGUGCCAGCCGCCGCCGUAA
rnacentral:rRNA from 1 species